GAUGAACGCUGGCGGCGUGCCUAAUACAUGCAAGUCGAGCGAACAGACGAGGAGCUUGCUCCUCUGACGUUAGCGGCGGACGGGUGAGUAACACGUGGAUAACCUACCUAUAAGACUGGGAUAACUUCGGGAAACCGGAGCUAAUACCGGAUAAUAUAUUGAACCGCAUGGUUCAAUAGUGAAAGACGGUUUUGCUGUCACUUAUAGAUGGAUCCGCGCCGCAUUAGCUAGUUGGUAAGGUAACGGCUUACCAAGGCAACGAUGCGUAGCCGACCUGAGAGGGUGAGCGGCCACACUGGAACUGAGACACGGUCCAGACUCCUACGGGAGGCAGCAGUAGGGACUCUUGCGAAAGGGGCGAAAGCCUGACGGAGCAACGCCGCGUGAGUGAUGAAGGUCUGCGGAUCGUAAAACUCUGUUAUUAGGGAAGAACAAAUGUGUAAGUAACUAUGCACGUCUUGACGGUACCUAAUCAGAAAGCCACGGCUAACUACG
rnacentral:rRNA from 1 species